rnacentral:lncRNA from 1 species
CCUGGGAUUGCCUCUGGCUGCCCAGGAACAUGCUGUGUGAUUACAGUUUGUUAUGAAAAUUUAAAACCUGCAGAACAGCUGAAAGACCUCCGCAGUGAGCACCACACGCCCACCACCUUGUGCCACCGUGACGUUUUGUUGGGUGCUGUGUCACAGUCUCUCCAACUCUCCGUCCCUCUCUCCGUCCGUCCACCCCUCUUAUUUUCGGACGCCCUCCUCAGUGCGGUGCAGGCAUCCGUGCCCGUCUAGGCCAGCACUUCCGCAUCACGUCGUUAACAGAGUUCAAUGUUUGUCACAGCUGUUUGUCUCUCUUGAGGUGAGCUUUACACACGAUGACACACGCGAAUCUCAGGUGUACCAUGUGUGAGUUCUGAUAAUGCCCGCACCCAUCGAGGGACCGAGCAUGGUGAUGACUCCAGAAAGACCCCUCAUGCCGCUUCCCAGUGAA